CCGGGGCAGCCGGCGCGGAGGCGGCCGGCGCGGGGAGCGGUGGCGGAGCCGCGGGCGAGGGGGCCUGCAGGGAGGGAGAAGGGGAGGGCGACAGAGGAGUCUCGGCGGCGGCGGCGCAACCGGCUGCAGGAGCGCCCGCGAUGCCGCCCGCGGUGUCGCCCGACAUUCCGCCACAGGCUCCGUUUUCUGCCCUAGCUAGUUUUAUGAACAGCUCGUUAAGCUCACUGAUCCUUUCUGUUCACAGGGUGUAUUUACAUCAUUAUUAUGUUCGGAUUAACCUGAGAAUUGACGACCAAACAAUCUUUCAUUGCUUCAUGCAUAUAGAGCUUCCACAAAUAUGCUCGACAAUUGGCGGCCGAUUUUUCUUUCAAAAUUUCAUGCUUCCAGCUAACACUAAUAUCGCACCCGUUGUACUAUUUUCCAGCGUCUCACCUGGAUGCUUUCACAUUGUAAUUUUUUUGGCACCCGAGGACUAUGCUUCCAGUAUCAACAACAAUUCCGUUCCAUCAUCAUCUGUCCCCACGCAAAGAUUAUUAUCAAUAUGAUGUUUCCAGUAACCAUGCUUUGUAAGCUACGUUGCAGGGAUAUGGCGAGGAGGUGCCGUAUCGGUGCAGAAUACUGCACCGGGACGGGGAUACGCACAGAUACGCCUGGAUACGCGUAUCCCAAAGUAUCCCAUUUUUUGAAUUAAAAUAAAGAGCAAAAAAAUCAGAAAACGGCUGGGACACGCAUGAGAUACAUGAGCCAUACGUAUGGGCCUGUUACAGCCCAUCGAAAGGCCUGCUCGAUGGAUGACAAAACAUCCUAAUCGCCUGUAAUCCUGUCGCCUCUCCUGGCAGUUGCCACAUCGCGAGGAAUCGAAGUCUCUGCGACGCAUCUAAGCUCCGUCUGGGCGCCGCCAGCAGCGCCUCGCCGCUCGUCUUCAAGUGUUCGUCAAUUGUCCAUCUAAAGAAUCUGGAAUGGCGUCUAGGUUGAACAUUUAAUCCUCUGUCGCUCGUUCUGGGAUCGGGUCUAGGAGUAACACCGCUGAUGAUUCAGAUCACCAUGAAUGAAAGUCUAUUUUCAUAUCCUCAAGGUAUUGUUUCGACAUUCAAGUUUGUAAGCAUCAGAUAUGUGCUUCGACAUUCAAGUUUGUUUGCAUCGACGGUGAAAUUGGUUUGUAGAUCACAAAUUGAUCGAUGCACACACAUGUUGGCAAUAUUCAUUGCUAGUUUCUACUUACAAAGUUAUAUGAUUCCACUAGGUAUGAAUUACGUUGAGAUAGCAACAAAUUGAUGCUUCUUAAUAUCCAGGAUUCAUAACUUUAUUGUAUGUUUUCUUCAGUCUAGAGUUUGGGGCAAUAGAAAUACACUUCUACUAUUUAUUGUACUUGCUAUUGCAUUGUCAAGAGAAUUCUUUGUAUUCAAAUAAUGUCAUCAACUCAUCAUGCUUCCUAUAUUUCAUAUAUAUAUGCUGACGGGGCCAAGCUGAAUUUUUCUGUUUCUCCUUGUUGAAUAAUGCCAAUAAAAUCCAAAAAUCAACGACAGUGUGACACAACAUGUAUGAAGAGUACAGGCUUCUUACAUGGGAAUAUGUCAGAUUUCUACUGCUUUACUACCCGUACCAUAUAUGUAACACAUGUUGUUGCUUCAUACCUUCUAUACUUAUGCACCCUGUCUAAUGGAUGUAUAUUUCAAGCAGUUGUGUUGCAUCUUUGGAACUGAUAGGUACAGACAUAGACAUAUAUGGAGGCGACUGAUGCAUGCACUAUGAAGUGUGUGAUAACACUUGGAUCCGCCCUACAAUGAGGAUGACCACAAGCGAAGGGAAGCAUGUCUAUGGUCUGUAGGGAACAUACGGUGUUGACUUAAGGAGGCAUAGUGCGCACUGUUGGUGACUUGAACGAAAUAAAUUUGUAUCAUGUUUGAAAAUUAUUGUAUGAACGAACGAAGCAGGAACCAAACUUAUAUUCGGUUAGAAGCAAAUUAAUUUUACCAUGGAAGCACUUUUGUAUUGGAUGGAAGCAAAGUUUUCCUUAGUUGGAAGCUUGAUAAAAAAAUAUAUGCUGGGACGCAAA